rnacentral:rRNA from 1 species
UUAAGUUAGAAAGGGCGCACGGUGGAUGCCUUGACACUAGGAGUCGAUGAAGGACGGGACUAACGCCGAUAUGCUUCGGGGAGCUGUAAGUAAGCUUUGAUCCGAAGAUUUCCGAAUGGGGAAACCCACCAUACGUAAUGGUAUGGUAUCCUUAUCUGAAUACAUAGGGUAAGGAAGACAGACCCAGGGAACUGAAACAUCUAAGUACCUGGAGGAAGAGAAAGCAAAUGCGAUUUCCUGAGUAGCGGCGAGCGAAACGGAACAUAGCCCAAACCAAGAGGCUUGCCUCUUGGGGUUGUAGGACAUUCUAUACGGAGUUACAAAGGAACGAGGUAGACGAAGCGACCUGGAAAGGUCCGUCGUAGAGGGUAACAACCCCGUAGUCGAAACUUCGUUCUCUCUUGAAUGUAUCCUGAGUACGGCGGAACACGUGAAAUUCCGUCGGAAUCUGGGAGGACCAUCUCCCAAGGCUAAAUACUCCCUAGUGAUCGAUAGUGAACCAGUACCGUGAGGGAAAGGUGAAAAGCACCCCGGAAGGGGAGUGAAAGAGAUCCUGAAACCGUGUGCCUACAAAUAGUCAGAGCCCGUUAACGGGUGAUGGCGUGCCUUUUGUAGAAUGAACCGGCGAGUUACGAUCCCGUGCGAGGUUAAGCUGAAGAGGCGGAGCCGCAGCGAAAGCGAGUCUGAAUAGGGCGUUUAGUACGUGGUCGUAGACCCGAAACCAGGUGAUCUACCCAUGUCCAGGGUGAAGUUCAGGUAACACUGAAUGGAGGCCCGAACCCACGCACGUUGAAAAGUGCGGGGAUGAGGUGUGGGUAGCGGAGAAAUUCCAAUCGAACCUGGAGAUAGCUGGUUCUCCCCGAAAUAGCUUUAGGGCUAGCCUUAAGUGUAAGAGUCUUGGAGGUAGAGCACUGAUUGGACUAGGGGUCCUCAUCGGAUUACCGAAUUCAGUCAAACUCCGAAUGCCAAUGACUUAUCCUUAGGAGUCAGACUGCGAGUGAUAAGAUCCGUAGUCAAAAGGGAAACAGCCCAGACCGCCAGCUAAGGUCCCAAAGUGUGUAUUAAGUGGAAAAGGAUGUGGAGUUGCUUAGACAACUAGGAUGUUGGCUUAGAAGCAGCCACCAUUUAAAGAGUGCGUAAUAGCUCACUAGUCGAGUGACUCUGCGCCGAAAAUGUACCGGGGCUAAAUACACCACCGAAGCUGCGGAUUGAUACCGAAUGGUAUCAGUGGUAGGGGAGCGUUCUAAGGACAGUGAAGUCAGACCGGAAGGACUGGUGGAGUGCUUAGAAGUGAGAAUGCCGGUAUGAGUAGCGAAAGACGGGUGAGAAUCCCGUCCACCGAAUGCCUAAGGUUUCCUGAGGAAGGCUCGUCCGCUCAGGGUUAGUCAGGACCUAAGCCGAGGCCGACAGGCGUAGGCGAUGGACAACAGGUUGAUAUUCCUGUACCACCUCUUUAUCGUUUGAGCAAUGGAGGGACGCAGAAGGAUAGAAGAAGCGUGCGAUUGGUUGUGCACGUCCAAGCAGUUAGGCUGAUAAGUAGGCAAAUCCGCUUAUCGUAAAGGCUGAGCUGUGAUGGGGAAGCUCCUUAUGGAGCGAAGUCUUUGAUUCCCCGCUGCCAAGAAAAGCUUCUAGCGAGAUAAAAGGUGCCUGUACCGCAAACCGACACAGGUAGGCGAGGAGAGAAUCCUAAGGUGUGCGAGAGAACUCUGGUUAAGGAACUCGGCAAAAUGACCCCGUAACUUCGGGAGAAGGGGUGCUUUCUUAACGGAAAGCCGCAGUGAAUAGGCCCAAGCGACUGUUUAGCAAAAACACAGCUCUCUGCGAAGCCGUAAGGCGAAGUAUAGGGGGUGACACCUGCCCGGUGCUGGAAGGUUAAGGAGAGGGGUUAGCGUAAGCGAAGCUCUGAACUGAAGCCCCAGUAAACGGCGGCCGUAACUAUAACGGUCCUAAGGUAGCGAAAUUCCUUGUCGGGUAAGUUCCGACCCGCACGAAAGGUGUAACGAUUUGGGCACUGUCUCAACCAGAGACUCGGUGAAAUUAUAGUACCUGUGAAGAUGCAGGUUACCCGCGACAGGACGGAAAGACCCCGUGGAGCUUUACUGUAGCCUGAUAUUGAAUUUUGGUACAGUUUGUACAGGAUAGGCGGGAGCCAUUGAAACCGGAGCGCUAGCUUCGGUGGAGGCGCUGGUGGGAUACCGCCCUGACUGUAUUGAAAUUCUAACCUACGGGUCUUAUCGACCCGGGAGACAGUGUCAGGUGGGCAGUUUGACUGGGGCGGUCGCCUCCUAAAGUGUAACGGAGGCGCCCAAAGGUUCCCUCAGAAUGGUUGGAAAUCAUUCGUAGAGUGCAAAGGCAUAAGGGAGCUUGACUGCGAGACCUACAAGUCGAGCAGGGACGAAAGUCGGGCUUAGUGAUCCGGUGGUUCCGCAUGGAAGGGCCAUCGCUCAACGGAUAAAAGCUACCCCGGGGAUAACAGGCUUAUCUCCCCCAAGAGUCCACAUCGACGGGGAGGUUUGGCACCUCGAUGUCGGCUCAUCGCAUCCUGGGGCUGUAGUCGGUCCCAAGGGUUGGGCUGUUCGCCCAUUAAAGCGGUACGCGAGCUGGGUUCAGAACGUCGUGAGACAGUUCGGUCCCUAUCCGUCGUGGGCGUAGGAAAUUUGAGAGGAGCUGUCCUUAGUACGAGAGGACCGGGAUGGACGCACCGCUGGUGUACCAGUUGUUCUGCCAAGGGCAUAGCUGGGUAGCUAUGUGCGGAAGGGAUAAGUGCUGAAAGCAUCUAAGCAUGAAGCCCCCUCAAGAUGAGAUUUCCCAUAGCGUAAGCUAGUAAGAUCCCUGAAAGAUGAUCAGGUUGAUAGGUUCGAGGUGGAAGCAUGGUGACAUGUGGAGCUGACGAAUACUAAUAGAUCGAGGACUUAACCAU